GACGAACGCUGGCGGCGUGCCUAAUACAUGCAAGUCGAACGAGUGGCGGACGGGUGGGUAAUGUCUGGGACACUGCCUGGUGGAGGGGGAUAAAUACUGGAACCGAUAGCUAAUACGGCAUACCAUCCGAUGUGCGCAGAUGGGAUUAGCUAGUGGGGGGGGUAACGGCUCACCUAGGCGACGAUCCCUAGCUGGUCUGAGAGGAGGACCAGCCACACUGGAACUGAGACACGGCCCAGACUCUUACGGGAGGAAGAGGUGGGGAAUAUUGCACAAUGGGCGCAAGCCUGAUGCAGCCAUGCCGCGUGUGUGAAGAAGGCCUUCGGGUUGUAAAGUAUGUUCAGCGGGGAGGCGUUACCCGCAGAAGAAGCACCGGCUAACUCCGUGCCAGCCGCCGCGGUAAUAC
rnacentral:rRNA from 1 species